AAGUCGUAACAAGGUUUCCGUAGGUGAACCUGCGGAAGGAUCAUUAACAAAAAGGGCGUUUGGACAACUGUCCGGCGCUCUAGAGGUCGCACACGGUUGGCUCUGCAGCAUUGGGUGUAAAGACCUAGUUCGAUUCCGAUGUUGCAUCCUGCCGGUGUCCUACAAACCACAUCGUGCACCGUAUAUAUGCAUUUGCGUAAUUUUCUAUUUGUUUGUCUGAUGUUUACAUUCUCUGAUUUUGGCCUCGUUGCCGAAUGACUGAAAAUAAAAAACAACUUUUAACAAUGGAUCUCUUGGCUCUC
rnacentral:misc_RNA from 1 species